rnacentral:rRNA from 1 species
AUGAACGCUGGCGGCGUGCUUAACACAUGCAAGUCGAACGGAGUAUUGACGCUGAGGAGCAGAGAGCUUGCUCGAAGCAAAUCUUGUUGAUACUUAGUGGCGGACGGGUGAGUAACGCGUGGGUAACCUGCCGUAUGCAGGGGGACAACAGUUGGAAACGACUGCUAAUACCGCAUAUGCACACAGUAAGGCAUCUUACAGGGUGGAAAGAAUUUUCGGCAUACGAUGGACCCGCGUCUGAUUAGCUGGUUGGUGAGGUAACGGCCCACCAAGGCGACGAUCAGUAGCCGGCCUGAGAGGGUGAACGGCCACAUUGGGACUGAGACACGGCCCAACUCCUACGGGAGGCAGCAGGUGGGGAAUAUUGCACAAUGGGGGAAACCCUGAUGCAAGCGACGCCGCGUGAGUGAAGAAGUAUUUCGGUAUGUAAAGCUCUAUCAGCAGGGAAGAAAAUGACGGUACCUGACUAAGAAGCCCCGGCUAACUACGUGCCAGCCGCAGC